rnacentral:rRNA from 1 species
UUGAGCGGAGAUUAUGGAGCUUGCUUUAUAUAACUUAGCAGCGAACGGGUGAGUAACACGUAGAUAAUCUAUCCUAUACUGGGGGAUAGCCCGAUGAAAGUUGGAUUAAUACCGCAUAUAGCUAUAUAGUUGCAUGAUUAUGUAGUGAAAGAUUUAUUGGUAUAGGAGGAGUCUGCGGCACAUUAGCUAGUAGGUGAGGUAAAGGCUUACCUAGGCGACGAUGUGUAGCCGGUCUGAGAGGAUGAACGGCCACAAUGGAACUGAGACACGGUCCAUACUCCUACGGGAGGCAGCAGUGGGGAAUAUUGCACAAUGGGGGAAACCCUGAUGCAGCAACGCCGCGAGAGUGAAGAAGGUUUUCGGAUUGUAAAGCUCUGUUAGCAGGGAAGAGGAAGGACGGUACCUGCAGAGGAAGCCACGGCUAACUACGUGCCAGCAGCCGCGGUAAUACGUAGGUGGCAAGCGUUGUUCGGAAUAACUGGGCGUAAAGGAUGCGUAGGCGGUUAAACAAGUUAUAUGUUAAAUAUAUAGGCUUAACCUGUAGAAAGCAUAUAAAACUGUUUAACUAGAGUGCAGGAGAGGUAAGUGGAAUUCCUAGUGUAGCGGUGAAAUGCGUAGAGAUUAGGAAGAACACCAGUGGCGAAGGCGACUUACUGGACUGUAACUGACGCUGAGGCAUGAGAGCAUGGGGAGCAAACAGGAUUAGAUACCCUGGUAGUCCAUGCUGUAAACGAUGGGUACUAGGUGUGGGUUGUGAA